ensembl:lncRNA
UAUUUAUCUUUGCCGGGCGCUAUUAGCGGCAGUUUUCUGUCCUCGUGGUGUGAACCAGGAAAAUAAGCAGUGACCGGGAGUUGCGGGGCCAGCCGUGCCCUCUCUGCAAGGCAGAGGCGAGCCGGGGCGAGCUGUCACCAUGCGGGGACAGCAGGAACCGACCCGAGCCGGCAGUGUGCCCAUAUAGCAGGCAAACGCUUCCCCCUAGCGAUGCAAGAGCACAAGAGCAAGAGCCGAGCUAAGGUGGAACUGACUGCAAGCGCAGGCUUGGUGAGUUCUCAGCGCUGUUUAGGGCAUGGAUUUUUGUUGUUGGUGGUGUUUCUUUGCAUGGCCCUAAGUCGUCACGAGUCAGGCAAAGGGGUCACUGAAAUGCAAAUAUCUCUUCUGCCCCCCACUUCAUGAUGCUGUGAUUGGAUUCCUUUUCAAACUGAGAAGGAUCUGUAGGGGAUAUGGUUGGGUGGUUAAUUUAUCCCUCUUCUCGGAAGUCUGGGCUGGAUAAACUCUGCAGUCGGCUCCAAGAAGCAGUCUCUUGGCUGCACCAUGCUAAGAGAAACGGAGAAUAUUAAAGCUCAUUGCUCUGCCUUUCCUGCAGCCCACCCUGCCUGCUCAUCAUGCAUGAGACGAUGCACGAUGAGCAGGCAUCUAUCUCCACUCAUGAGGUGGAGAUAGAUGGGGAUGUGACAGCUUUGUACCAGCACAAAUGUGUAAAUGCCACAGGCAAAACGCAGCUUGGAUUGGGUGGGAGAUGGAAGUCACUGCUGGCACGAAAAUGCUGUCAGCUGGGUGAAGGAGGAGCUGACAAAGCCUAACACAAUAGUUUUUGCAGUUGCUUGCUCCUAACUUACAUCCCUUCACCUCCAUAGCAAGUUCUCUGCUCUUUCCUGCUCACAUCCUUGCUGAUUUACACUCUGCCCCAUGUCAGAGAAGCUCACAGGCAGAAGGCUGCCACUUGCCCAGCAGCAACCAAGCACCCUGCUGGUCAGCCUGCAUUGCUUGGCUUUUCUACUCUGUGCACCAGCUUUCUGUUCUUACAGAUUGAACGCCUGAAUACAAAUGUCUGGGAAUCAAGUUGCACGCUAAAUAGGUGCAGCAUGGAAAUGCGUCAUUUCUGAAUGUGUGCUCAGGUUAGACUCAAAAUCUGAUGUCUGAUGGUAAAGGACAGGGACCAGGAUGGAAACGGAGGGAACAGACAGUGCAUUGCCAAGUGAUGGCCCCAAAUGAUGCCAGGUCCCCUGGGUCCCCUAAACCCAAAUGUGAGGUUUGUCUCUGGGCCAUAACCAGGUGGCACAAGAAAACAGCUUGUGGCAGUCCAUGAGUAGAGCUGAACCUUACGUGGAUGGUUAAUUCAGGUCACUUUUAUUUUCCAGGCAGGUUAGGGCUUUGGGUUUGUGAAAAGUUUGUGCCGUUUGCAGGUAUCCCGCUCAAUCAAAGGAGAAUUCCAAUCCCAAAGGAGACUUCAUGCAGGGGAAGCAAUGAUUUUAAAGUCCUUCCCUUGCCAAUAACCACAGGGGGGCUUGACCCAAGGAUGUAAUCCACCACAUCUCCUCUGACUGCAGGUCUCCUCCCCAUCACUUGCAUGGAUGUAGGAGCUGCUCCAGUCAUGCAUGUUCUGCACAGGCAGCACACCUGCUGUAAGCUUUGCUCUGUGCCAGGAAAACUGGAGGGUUUUCACAGAAGCACGAGAGCGCUGUGGCAGGGACCCCAAAGCACCUGCAAGGGCACGGCACCAGAAUGAUGACGUGCUGGUUGUCCAGGCUGCUGUAAGAAAUACCCAGCUCUUCACCCACUUCUCCAACCACCUAGAGGAACUCCGUUUAGUGACUAUAAAAGGCCAUAAGAGGGCAGCUUUUAGCUCAGAUUCUUUCCCCAGCCCAGCUUACAAAUGUGCUGCUCAGGAUGAGGAUGCCCACAGCGCAAGUCCUGUUUUCUUCCCACCGCCAGCCUUGGAAAGGUAAUACAUGGCUCCAGCUCCAGCUCCACACUUCGUUACACUACCUAGACCACACUGAACCGAAUUAUGGCUUUGUUGCAUCAAAUUGCCUCUUGUAUUAGCAGGCAGGUGUUGUCCAUAGCAAUGUGAAAUUGUAUCGGCAAGAUAUCGAUGUCCAUUCACUGCUGUGCCUAGAAGAUGCUAAACAGAACAAUGGUUCCUCAGCCUCCAGAGGCUUUGGCACAUCUUUCUGUGACAGAGGCAACAUUCCAUGACACGAUUCCAUCUCUCCCUCUUGGAGUAAAAGAGACAGUGGAAGGAGAGUGCCUUCUCCCAGAGAUCAGACUCAAUUGCACAAGGUGCAACCAGGAGGCCUCUACCCUUGCCCCUCAAACAUGGAGAAGGCUGAGGUGCUUAAUGAGUUCUUUUCCUUGUUCUUCACAAUCACUCAGGAUUCGCAUACCUCUGGUGUCCCUGAACUUCUAGGUGGAGGUGAGGGGAACAAAAUCCCUCCCAGUCUAAGAGCGGAGCAAGUCCGAGACCACCUCAUGAGGCUGAAUGUGCAGAAGUCCAUAGGGCCAGAUGAGAUCCAUCUCAGUCCUGAAGGAACUGGCUGAUGUGGUUGCCAAGCUGCUCUCCAUCACAUCUGAAAAACUGUGGCUGUCAGACAAAGUUCUCAGUGACUGGAAAAAUGGAAACACCAUAUUCAAGAAGGGGAGAGAGGAAGUCUCAGGGAACUGCAGGCUGGUGAGCCUCACAUCUGUGCUUGGGAAAAUCACAGAGUGGAUCCUCC